rnacentral:rRNA from 1 species
CCAAUCGUAGUGUAGGGGACUACGAUGGUUGUAACGGGUACGGGGAAUUAGGGUUCGAUUCCGGAGAGUUAGCCUUAAAAAUAGCUAACAUUACCAAGGUAAGCAGCAGGCGCGUAAAUUAUCCAAUCCCAAUUCGGGGAGAUAGUGACAAGAAAUAUCGGUGUGGAGCCCUACGGGUUUCACGAUCGAAAUGAGUACAAUUUAAAAACCUUAACGAGGAACAAUUGGAGGGCAAGUCUGGUGCCAGCAGCCGCGGUAAUUCCAGCUCCAGUAGCGUAUAUUCAAGUUGUUGCGGUUAAAAAGCUCGUAGUUGGCUCUCGAGUUGGGGAGCGUCAGUCCCCUCCAUCUUUAUCGGUGGGGGGAUCAAGGCUGAGCAUCUCCUUCUCAUCAUCUGUGUCGUAAAACAGCUGGGCUUGCUCAGUUGGACUACAGGAAUUUACUUUGAAUAAAUUAGGGUGUUCAAAGCAGACGAAAUCGUCUUGAAUACAUUAGCAUGGGAUAAUAAAAUACGACUUUGGUCCAGUUUACUGGUUUCUAAGGCCGAGGUAAUGAUUAAUAGGGACAGUUGGGGUCGCUCGUACUCAGUGGUCAGAGGUGAAAUUCUAGGACCCACUGAAGACGAACAAGUGCGAAGGCAUUCGACAAGGAUGUUUUCAUUAAUCAAGAACGAAAGUUAUGGGAUCGAAGAUGAUCAGAUACCGUCGUAGUCAUAACCGUAAACUAUGUUGACUCGGGAUCUGUAGAAGUUACAUGGAUGACUCUACAGGCACCGUGUGUGAAAACAAAGUAUUCGAACUCCGGGGGGAGUAUGGUCGCAAGGCUGAAACUUAAAGGAAUUGACGGAAGGGCACCACCAGGAGUGGAAUAUGCGGCUUAAUUUGACCCAACACGGGGAAACUUACCCAGUCCGGACGCGAUGAGGAUUGACAGAUUGAUCGUUCUUUCUUGAUUUUGUGGGAGCCGGUGCAUGGCCGUUUUUAGUUGGUGGAGUGAUUUGUCUGGUUAAGUCCGAUAACGAACGAGACCUAAUUCUGCUAAAUAGUAAUGUGAACAAGGGAGUUGCUGGUGGGGUUGGGCUUGCCCGGCUUCGUCAGGGCUUCCACUCAUUUGUUGGCAUCGUUUAUACUUCUUAGAGAGACCCUUGGUGUUUCAUGCAGCCAAUGGAAGUUUUAGGCAAAAACAGGUCUGUGAUGCCGCUAGAUGUCUGGGGCUGCACGCGCGUUACACUGAUGUGUGCAACAAGUAUUAGAAAAAACCUAACCCGAAGGGGUCUGGGCAACCUCCAAACGCACAUCGUGAUGGGGAUUGUGCUUUGUAACUAUCGCACAUGAACGAGGAAUUCCUAGUAAGGGUAAGUCAUCAGCUUGCCCUGAUUACGUCCCUGCCCUUUGUACACACCGCCCGUCGCUUCUACCGAUCGAACUACUCGAUGAGGACUCGGGACAUGGGCUCCAAUCUGUUCUGCAGUGCGGAGUAUUGUGAAACCUGUUCGAAUCUCGCAGUUUAGAGGAAGAAGAAGUCGUAACAAGGUCUCUGUAGGUGAACCUGCAGAGG